rnacentral:rRNA from 1 species
UACGUAGGGUGCGAGCGUUGUCCGGAAUUAUUGGGCGUAAAGGGCUCGUAGGCGGUCUGUCGCGUCGGGAGUGAAAACUCAGGGCUUAACCCUGAGCCUGCUUCCGAUACGGGCAGACUAGAGGUAUGCAGGGGAGAACGGAAUUCCUGGUGUAGCGGUGGAAUGCGUAGAGAUCCGGAGGAACACCAGUGGCGAAGGCGACACGCUGGGCCGUACCUGACGCUAAAGCGCGACAGCAUGGGGAGCAAACGGG